UUGGGAUUGUUUCACGUUUUUUAGUGAUGUGCAAAGCAUCUCUCUCUCCUGCCUGGAUGUGUAUUUUGUGGCUUUGCUUUGUUUUAAAUUGUAGGAAUGUCAUACCUUCAAGGUCUUAAUUCCUCUGGUAAUUUUCAUGUAAAUUAGCUAAUGAGUUAAAUAACUUUCAUACAAGUUGCUUUAAUACUGUAGGAAAAAAAAGUUCAGCAGCCUUACUCACUGCUCACUGAGCUGCCAUUUUUCUGAAUACCUCUACUGAGAGCCACUUACAUCUUCCCAGAGAUCAAGGCCUUUUGCCAUGCUUUAGGCCGCCUAUCCAUUGAAAAUCCUCCCUCAUUAGUUAGCAAUUACAUCGCCAGUGAUUACAGACCUUCACAAGAGGUUUCAGGGUUUUUUUUCAUCAGACAGACAGUCCCAGCUCUGCAGUUUCCAUCUCCUGCAGCAUGACUCAGGUGGAGGAGACCAGAGCUCUGCGGGUCACGCUGGGCCACCUGUGCAACGAUGGAGAUAAUGGAGAAAACACAGCAAAUGCUACCAGAGAUGCAAAAGCUGAGCUUUUUGUUCUUUGAUGGUGAAGCUAAUAUGGAUAUUUUUAUGCACAGUAUAGUCUCUUUUGAGAUUUGUUUCUAUUAACACAGUCCUCAAUAAAGGAAUUGAGCUUUAGAGGACACUACCACCAGGCUAAGCAGGCUGCGCUGCAAAGACCUUUAAUAGAAAGCCACUCCCUCAAUCUGCUUAAACUUUGGUGAGGAUAAUACGGCUUACUCUAACUGAUUUUUGAUAAAACAGUAAAAGACAAACAGAUGCUUAUUAUGCCAGAGUUGAUAAAUGCACCUUAUUGAUAACCUUUCUUGUGCUUAUCCAGGAAUAUUUGUCCUGGAGGAAAAAAUUGUUCUCACCACACCUAACAUGCAAGUUAAACACCUAAACAUACAUUGAUGUUUAAUUUUACAUGAAAAAAAUAUAGCAAGGGUUAGUGUAUCAUAAUCAGCCUAACCAAUGAAUUAAAACUCCCAGCUGGUAUGUGAUUUCAUUUAUUCUUAGUUUGCUUCUGUUCUGUUGGCUUUUUUAAGUGCUGGUAACAUAAUGUCAUGAUGUUUUUCUAUGAUGAAGAAACCUGUUCACCAUGUGGAUUACACUAUUAGCCCCUUCUGCAUCUUGAAAACUGGCUUUCUUAGCAAAUACACUUCAUGUAAUAUUGCAUUGCUGCAAAAUAGUUUUCUAUUUGUCUGCUGAAAUUUCAGCUUAAAGAUCAGAUUCUGCUCUUUGGAAGACAUAACCACCAAAGCUGAAUUUUGGAUGGUGCUCUCUGUAUUCUGCAGGUGCAGUAGAGUUUUUAUGCUCUUCUUUUGGUGAAGUCACAUGCAUUCGUGUUUGCAGCUUGGCAUGUGAAUACAUUAUGUAUAUCUGUGCUUCUGGCAGGUACGAGAUGGACAUUGGACAAAUUAGUAUUUGCAGUAUUUCUUUUCUGUGUGAUUGGGAGGGUUUCAAGCCUUAGUUUUGUUUAAAAGUAACUUUUUGGGUUUUUUUUAGUAGAAAACACCUCAUGCUAGUUAUGGAGUCUAAAAGAGGUUUCCUAAUGUUCUUUAUCAAAGCAUCAUCCUUUAGUAACUGCAGUUGUCAUAGUAAACAGAGUCCUUUUAUGUAGAAGUUUAUGAUCUUGUUGUAAUAGGUCCUUUAUGAAAAAGUAGCCAUUAUUUGAGUUUUUCUAACUAUACUGUGUAUUCAGCAUGUAACUGAAAUUUAAUCUAAGAUUCAUACAGAAGAUAAAAAUAUCCCUUCUCUGAUGAUGUCUGCUCUAAUCACGGAAUGUAUAUCUUCCUAGUAAUACAGAGUGUUCGAAAAACAAUUAUAUGAUGUUCUGUCAUGUCUGAAUGCAUAAUAAAUGUAACUGACUUAUAGAAUAAUCAACUGUAUUCAGUUAGGCAUGUAUUUGUCGUUAAAUCAUUCACUUGUAGGUAUGCCUAAAAUCAGCUGUGCUAUGAAGUCCAUGGUAGAAAUCACCUUAGUUCAUGUUAUUAAUUUUAAAAUUUGGCAAUGUCAUUAACCUGCAUGAUAUUUGGGUAUGUUAGGUACAAAGUUUAUUUCAGUUGAUUUGAGAACUAAAAUUAAUUUUGAAAUUUACUUGUUUCAUAUGACAGCAUUGCAAAAGUUUUGUUAAUUCACCCACAGUUAACUAUGUGGUAUUUUUGCUUAUAUGAGGUUCUGCCAUGAAAACAAAAAAUGUAUAUACAGCUGGAGGACUGCAGUUCUGUGAUACAGCAUGCUAAAGUUAGAAGUAGGGGGUUGCAGUUUUGUUUUAAUGUGUAAAGGGAUAUGGUUUUUGUUUUGUGUAAGUUUGAGACUGCAGUUUUUGUCUAACUAAUGGCACUUUUAAUGAGAUUUGAUUUUUAACAGCUGGUUGCUCAGCAUAUUUGGAAAAUUGAGCCCAAUGAAAUAUUUUUAAAAUGUCAGCUGUUUUUGAAAAUUCAUGGUAUCAGGAUUUUCCUACCCAAAAUUUCAGUAUCCAGAAAGUGGAUGAAUUGGGCACUAUGCAACUUUGUGAUUCUCCAGUUUUAGUGAUGCAAAUUUAUUUGUAUAGGCUUAAGAGAAGAAAAAAAAUUGUGAUCUUUUCUGUGCCAUAUGGUGUCAGUGGCAUGUUUCUAGAUUUAUUUUUUUAAAAAUAUAUUAAUAUCGGCAAAAUGAUAACAUUUGACGUGUGAAAAAUGUGCAUGUCAUUUUAAUCUGAAAUUUUGUUGGUGUUUGUUUUUUUCCUCCUUUUAUUACAAAGUGUAGUACAGAUCUUGCGCUAGACUGAGUUUAAUCAAUCACUGGAAGCGCCUGGUGCAUUCUGCUGGCUACUGAGUGAGUUUCAGUUUGUAUACCUAAGCUACUUGCCUGAUUUUGGAAGAGGUGAUCCUAUGUGCACUAUUCCUUCAAAAAAUGCAGUGGUUUUCCCCCCUGUUUUCACAGGUUUUGGGAGACACAGCUGCUGUCCACGUUUGGAGGUGUUGUGUAGAGCUGGAGCUACUGUGUUGCCACCAACCUGAGUUAAGGUUUAAUUUAUAGGGACAAAUAGGCUUGUGCCUCCAUACUAAUUUGAAUUAUUUUAUAUAGUAAUACUUUUCUUUAUCUUCUUAUGGUUUGAUUUUUUUUUUUUUUUAAUGUAACCUAAGGGUCUAAUCUACCUAGACUACAAAAUGUUUAACAGGGUUAUUGAAAUAAGCAUGUGUGUGAGUAUGAUGAAGGUGUUAAAAUGGAAGUCUUCAAUAUACAAGUAAGCUUGCUACCAGUAAAUUUUGUUUUAUUUCAUCCUGUCAUGCUUGGAGUGAGUGUUGAAAGACGAACAGGCAAGCGCUGCUCAGCUAGAGGGGAGAAGCACGUCAUACAGCCCCCAGAAUAGCAUCAGCAGUAAAUAUGGUCAUGCUGUUCUUUGCCGAGAUAGACCCAGAUCACAUUUGUAGCACCCACCAGGUCUGCUGCUUACCAGACAUUCAGGGCCUUUGAUGAAACAUUUACAAAUGCAGCUGCAGUUCGGAGGGAUCUUCUGCCGGCAGUGAAGAAGCUGACAUCAAGAAAACGGGAGGAAAUGAGAUCACAAGCCAGGGAGUUCAAACAAAAUGCAGUUCAGGGGGAAUACAAAUUUAAUCACAGUAUUAAAACACUGCUCCAAGAUAUGAACCAUGUUCUUGUUAGACUCCCUUUUCAUGUUAACUUGAUUAUGUUUUCCAGUGACUUAGAACCACUAAAGCCUGAAGCUUUUGUAGAGGAGGAAAGGUGGACUGAAAAAUGGGUCUUUGUUCAACUGUCUUAGGUCAUACAUAAUGUCAAAACUGGAAUUAAAAUGUAUUAUAAAGUGAA